GUGCUUGCUCUGGCAGCACGUAUACUAAACUUGGAACGAUACAGAGAAGAUUAGCAUGGCCCUGCACAAGGAUGACAUGCAAAUUCAUGAAAUGUUCCAUAUUUUU
ensembl:snRNA U6 U6 spliceosomal RNA